rnacentral:tRNA from 1 species
GGGUUCGUAGCUCAGUUGGUAGAGCAGAAGACUCUUAAUCUUCGGGUCAGAGGUUCGAUCCCUCUCGGACCCACCA